CCGAGUUUACAACUCCCAACACCCUGUGUAACAUGCACUAUCGUUGCUUCGGCGGAUCCGCCUCCGUGCGCCCUCGGGCCCGGAUCAGGCGCCCGCCGGAGAACCAACAACUCUUGUAUUUCUUUUAGUAUCUUCUGAGUAAACAAGCAAAUAAAUUA
rnacentral:misc_RNA from 1 species